ensembl:snoRNA U3 Small nucleolar RNA U3
AAAACUAUGCUUUUAGGGAUCAUUUCUACAGUUUGUUACUAGAGAAGUUUUUAUGACGUGUAGAGUACCAGAAGCCAUGAGGAGGACAUGCAGGGUUCUCUUCUGAGUGUGAAGCUGGCUGUUUGUGUUGCUUUGCUGCCAGUACCACUUGCCAUUGAUGAUCACUCUUGCUCUCCCCCGGGAGGGCUGGAGGAAGAGGACACAGUCUGAGUGAC